rnacentral:rRNA from 1 species
GGUUGGGUUGUUGCUGGCCUCUAGGGGCAUGUGCACGCCUGCCAUCGUUUUCAACCACCUGUGCACCUUUUGUAGACUUGGAUAACUCUCGAGGUUCAGACCUCGGUUUGAGGACUGCUGCGCUGGUGCUUUAAUAUCAGUACAGGCCAGCUUUCCUUACAUUUCCUGUCUACGUUUCCCUAUAUAUACCCCAUAAUGAAUGUAUUAGAAUGUUUGUUAUUGGCCUUCAGUGCCUUUAAUCAAAAAUACAACUUUCAGCAACGGAUCUCUUGGCUCUCGCAUCGAUGAAGAACGCAGCGAAAUGCGAUAAGUAAUGUGAAUUGCAGAAUUCAGUGAAUCAUCGAAUCUUUGAACGCACCUUGCGCUCCUUGGUAUUCCGAGGAGCAUGCCUGUUUGAGUGUCAUUAAAUUCUCAACCUAUCUAGCUUUUGCGAAGGUAGGCUUGGAUGUGGGGGUUUGCGGGCUUUUACAAAAGUCGGCUCUCCUUAAAUGCAUUAGUGGGACCUUUUGUUGGCUUGUUCCUAGUGUGAUAAUUAUCUACACUGUGAGCGGUCGGCGAUUUUUAAUGGGUCUUGCUUCCAACCUGUUCCUACUUCAGGACGCUUUGACAAUUUGACCUCA